rnacentral:rRNA from 1 species
AUGGCGGCGCUCUCAGACGAUGGUAACCUUGUCAUAAGAGACGACUCGAACCCAUCCAUCGUGUGGUGGCAGAGCUUUGAUCACCCAACAAAUGUUUUCCUGCCCGGUGCAAGGAUUGGCCGGAACAAGGUUGCUGGCCAAAAAUAUAGUCUUGUUUCGAAGAAGAAUCUGAUAGAUCCAGCUCCAGGCCUAUACUGCAUGGAGCUAGACCCAACUGGUGAUCCGCAAUACUUUGUUAAGCUCUGUAAUUCAUCCAUGGUGUAUUUCUCCACGGGGGAAUGGACCGGGUGCGGGUGGUACUUCAAUUUGGUGCCGGAGAUGUCAGGCAGUCACUUUCUCCACACCAAAUUCAUCGACAAUGAUGAAGAGGAGUACUUCACUUAUGCCCCGAUGGAUCCAACAAUGAUAACAAUCUGCUUCCUUGAUGUCUCCGGUCUUACCAAGCAACUUCUUUGGCUUGAAAUCUUGCAAGAUUGGGAAACCAUACAUGUCCAACCAAGGGCUCCAUGCGAUGUUUUCGCCGUUUGUGGGCCUUCCACGGUCUGCAAUGACAACGCACUUACAUUGUGUAACUGCAUGAAUGGGUUCUCUGUGAAGUCACCAGAGGAUUGGGUGCUAGAUGAUAGAGGAGGUGGAUGCAUGAGAAAUACUCCACUAGAACGUUGCAACAGCAACAAAAGUAACACAACAGGAUUAACUGACCAGUUCUUUCCCAUACAUAGUGUUAGAUUACCAUAUUAUGCACAUAGCAUGGAAACAAUUGAGAGUGGACAAGAGUGCAUGCAGGUUUGUCUAAGAAAUUGCUCAUGCACUGCCUACUCCUAUGGCAAGAGUGGCUGUUCUAUCUGGCAUGGCCAACUUAUUAAUGUAAAGCAGUACAAUAAUGGCACAGUCAAUAGUGACAAAGAGAUUCUUUUCCUUCGUCUUGCUGCUGGAGAUGUGCAAAGUUGGGGAAACAACACGAAAGGAAAUAGAAGAAUGAUCAUAGGUCUCACUGUGUGUGCUUUCGGUUUGUUGGUAAUGCUAUUGAUGAUUUGGAGGGGGGAAAGGAAGUGGUGUUCUCAUCCCUUAAGCAACACUGAAGGUGGAUGUGGAGUUAUAGCAUUUAAGUAUGUUGAUUUGCAGCAGACAACUAAAAAUUUCUCAGAGAAGCUUGGUGUAGGUGGUUUUGGCUCUGUAUUUAAGGGAAUUCUGCGUGACUCGACUACCAUAGCGGUGAAGAUGCUUGAUGGUGCACGCCAAGGAGAAAAACAGUUCAGGGCUGAGGUUAGCACAAUUGGAAUGAUCCAACAUGUCAACUUAGUAAAACUGAUUGGUUUUUGCUGUGAAGGUGAUAGAAGGAUGCUUGUUUAUGAACACAUGGCAAAUCGUUCUCUUGAUGUCCAUAUAUUCCAAGCCAAUGGUUCUAUGCUAGAUUGGAGUACAAGGUUCCGAAUUGCCAUUGGUGUUGCUAAAGGAUUGUCCUACUUGCAUGAGAGUUGUCAUGACUGCAUAAUACAUUGCAAUAUUAAGCCAGAAAACAUACUUCUCGAUGCGGCACUUGUUCCUAGAAUUGCAGAUUUUGGGAUGGCAAAACUUAUGGGAAGGAACUUUAGUCGAGUUCUGACUACAAUGAGAGUUCUGACUACAAUCGAGAUCAUAAGACAGACCAUCAUAGUUCCAUGCUACAUAAUAUGGAAUAUAUUCCGCACCCACCACACCGACGAGUAG